GAGGGACCCAGCCCCCGGGGUUUGGCGACUCUGGCAGGGGAGGGCCGCUGGGGGGGGGGGCUCCUCCGGCUGGGGAGGGGGGCCCGGCCGAGGAGGGGGGUGAUUCUCAAAAUUCCUUCUGUUAAAUACCCGGUUUAUAUUUCUAGUAUGUGCUUCUUGACCCGCUUUCGGGGACACGGGGGAGCCCUGGCUUUCGCAGGCCCUCUGCGUCCUGAAGGAGGGGGCUGGGGAGCCCCUCCUGCCGCCCCUCCCCUCCGGGGCUCCUCCGGCUGGGGAGGGGGGCCCGGCCGAGGAGGGGGGUGAUUCUCAAAAUUCCUUCUGUUAAAUACCCGGUUUAUAUUUCUAGUAUGUGCUUCUUGACCCGCUUUCGGGGACACGGGGGAGCCCUGGCUUUCGCAGGCCCUCUGCGUCCUGAAGGAGGGGGCUGGGGAGCCCCUCCUGCCGCCCCUCCCCUCCGGGGGGCGCAGGGCUCCCUUUGGCCUGGAGGGGAGGGGGCCCUUCUUGUGCACUGGGCGGCGCGGCGGGGCUCAGGCCUUGGAGAAGGCGGCGCUGCCGGCGGGGCCCGGGGGCGCGGCGCCCGGCUCCUCGGCCCAGCGGUUCAUGCAGCGGCGCCGCGCGUUCAUGAAGAAGUUGCUGACGGUGUUGAGCUCCAGGCCGAGCUGCUGCGAGAUGGUGACCUGCAUCUCCUUGGACGGCCGCUUGUUCUCCUUGAAGAUGGCGAUGAGCGUGCGCCGCUGCAGGAGGCAGGGAUCCUUCUGAUUUACUCAGAGAAGGGGAGCCACGUGCUCAAGGUUGCGAGCAGGUCCCAGCAGGGGCAGGACCGGAGCCCAGAAGGGGAGGGAGUGUUCAAUCUAAUUACAGCUCCUCACAGCCCGAUCGAUCUGGGCUCCAGUCAGAGCUGUUUACCGGGAGCCGCUUUUGUCCUGCGUCCAUCCCCCACAGGCCCGGAGCCCAGCCCGAGGCCAGCCCGGAGGCGGGGGGCACUGUCGCCAUCACCACCCUCCCCUGGGCAGCACCCGCCCGGCACUCAGAUGCCCCCACCGGCCGGCCAGGUCACCCCAAGCGGAGGGCAGGCUGUGGUGGGAGCCCCUUGGCGGACGCGCUGCCCACGGUGGGGCGGGGAGGGCGCCUGGGGGACCCGGACUUACCCACAGCGCCAACCACCGGCUUCCUACUGCGAUGCCACCGCUAUGGCCACCUCUUCCGCGAUGGGCUCCACCGGGCACCGCCACUGUGGCUUCCACCUCCAUCACCUCCGCCACCGUCACCUUCCCCAUCACCUCCUCCACCACCUGCAGCCCUUCUGCCAUCACCACCUCCGCCACCAUCACCACCUCCACCUGCAUCCCUUCCACCUCCAUCACCUCCUCCUGCAUCACCUCCGCCGCAGCCUCCCCUACCAUCAUCCCCUCCUCCACCAUUGUCUCCACCUGCAUCCCUUUCACCAACAUUGCUUCUCCCAUUGCCUCCCCAUCGCCUCCCCAUCAUCUCCCCGUCACCUCCCCCAUCGCCUCCUCCUGCAUCACCUCCACCUGCAUUGCUUGCUCUACCCUCUACUAUCACUUCUGCUUCCAUGGCCUCCUCCACCACCUGCGCCAAUCCUAUCAUCAUCGCCUCCUCCACCAUCAGUGCCACCUCCACCUGCACCUCUGUCACCUCCGCCUCCACCAUCACCAGCACCACCACAUCUUCCAACACCAUCACCUCCGUCACCUGGGCUUCCAUCACCACACCUAUGGCACCUCUGACCUCUGACCUCCUCUACUUGCCCCACCCUCAUGGCCUCCCCUGCAGUCUCCCACACCACCUUUGUCUUUAGGGCUCUCCCUCCAUCCCACCUCCUGUUACCCCACCUGCACCAGCACCUCCUCCACGCCCUUCUCCUCAAGGCAGAGCCCAUCACAGGAGGACUCUACCCCGGGGCCUGUGCUUAGGGGACAGGGAGUGGCCCCAGGCACAGACCCUCACCACCAACCACGGUUGCCAUGGCAGCUGGGGGAGGAACCAGCUGGCCACCAGACUUGCUCAGGGACCCUGGGCCAGCCGGUCCCCCAACAGGGCCUCAGGCUCCUCAUUUGCAAAACCAGGACCCUCCGCCUAAGUCACACACGUCACACGUGUCACACACGUGUCACACACACUCCUCAUUUGCAAAACCAGGACCCUCUGCCUAAGUCACACACGUCACACGUCCCUCAGCACGCUCAGCGCACCGUCACCACCCACCACCCCCACCCCGCCGCCUCUGCUCUCAUCUCCACGGCCCCCUUUUCCUUUCCUUUAUUUUCUUCAUAGCAUUACAGUGAUGCCUCCACUCUAUCUAGGGCCCCCCUCAAAUGUGGGUUUGGGGCCCCUCUCCAUGCCUCCAGGGACUCAGAAACUGAUAAUAAGAACACCAAUUCGGAGAUGCUCUGAUCUUAGAGCGACUGGUGUCCCCCCCAUCCCACCUCCCUCUGUCUUUUUGGAGUCCAGGGAUGAUGCUGGGCUGCGGCUGGGUCCUGGGGGGUCCCCCAAGGCCCUGGGAAGAG
ensembl:lncRNA